GUGGGGAAUAUUGCACAAUGGGCGAAAGCCUGAUGCAGCAACGCCGCGUGAGUGAUGAAGGCCUUCGGGUUGUAAAGCUCUGUCUUUGGGGACGAUAAUGACGGUACCCAAGGAGGAAGCCACGGCUAACUACGUGCCAGCAGCCGCGGUAAUACGUAGGUGGCAAGCGUUGUCCGGAUUUACUGGGCGUAAAGGAUGCGUAGGCGGAUAUUUAAGUGAGAUGUGAAAUACCUGGGCUUAACUUGGGUGCUGCAUUCCAAACUGGGUGUAUAGAGUGUUGGAGAGGAAAGUGGAAUUCCUAGUGUAGCGGUGAAAUGCGUAGAGAUUAGGAAGAACACCAGUGGCGAAGGCGGCAUCCUGGACCGGUAUUGACGCUGAGGAGCGAAAGCCAGGGGAGCAAACGGGAUUAGAUACCCGAGUAGUCC
rnacentral:rRNA from 1 species